rnacentral:rRNA from 1 species
AAGCUCGUAGUUGAAUUUCGGGGUUCUACCGUUGGUCGGGCUAACAAGUCUGUACUAGCGUGUAGAAUCUCUACCUUCUGGGGAACCAUCAUGUUAUUAAUUUAGCGUGGUGGGAAACCAGGACCUUUACCUUGAAAAAAUUAGAGCGUUCAAAGCAGGCUUACGUCUGAAUACAUUAGCAUGGAAUAAUAAAAUAGGACGGUGGUCCUGUUUUGUUGGUUUCUGAAUCACCGUAAUGAUUAAUGGGAUAGUUGGG